rnacentral:tRNA from 1 species
UUACUAAAAGCGAAUUUUCGCACUAAGUUUCGACCUUAGCUUUGGAAAAAAAUCCUUAGUAAU